rnacentral:rRNA from 1 species
CAGGGAUUGCCUCAGUAACGGCGAGUGAAGCGGCAAGAGCUCAAAUUUGAAAGCUGGCCCCCUCGGGGUCCGCGUUGUAAUUUGCAGAGGAUGCUUCGGGAGCGGUCCCCAUCUAAGUGCCCUGGAACGGGUCGUCAUAGAGGGUGAGAAUCCCGUAUGGGAUGGGGUGUCCGCGCCCGUGUGAAGCUCCUUCGACGAGUCGAGUUGUUUGGGAAUGCAGCUCUAAAUGGGUGGUAAAUUUCAUCUAAAGCUAAAUAUUGGCCGGAGACCGAUAGCGCACAAGUAGAGUGAUCGAAAGAUGAAAAGCACUUUGAAAAGAGAGUUAAACAGCACGUGAAAUUGUUGAAAGGGAAGCGCUUGCGACCAGACUCGCCCGCGGGGUUCAGCCGGCAUUCGUGCCGGUGUACUUCCCCGCGGGCGGGCCAGCGUCGGUUUGGGCGGCCGGUCAAAGGCCCUUGGAAUGUAACGCCCCCCGGGGCGUCUUAUAGCCAAGGGUGCCAUGCGGCCCGCCCGGACCGAGGAACGCGCUUCGGCUCGGACGCUGGCAUAAUGGUCGUAAGCGACCCGUCUUGAAACACGGACCAAGGAGUCUAACAUCUACGCGAGUGUUCGGGUGUCAAACCCGUGCGCGCAGUGAAAGCGAACGGAGGUGGGAACCCUCGCGGGUGCACCAUCGACCGAUCCUGAUGUCUUCGGAUGGAUUUGAGUAAGAGCGUAGCUGUUGGGACCCGAAAGAUGGUGAACUAUGCCUGAAUAGGGCGAAGCCAGAGGAAACUCUGGUGGAGGCUCGCAGCGGUUCUGACGUGCAAAUCGAUCGUCAAAUUUGGGUAUAGGGGCGAAAGACUAAUCGAACCAUCAGUC